AUGAAGAAGAUACAUGUGCUGGGAGUGGAGAAACUAAUGAACCUUCUAAGUGGACUUUUUCACUUGGGUCUUACAGUUCUUGACCACUUGAGCCUGUAUCAGCUGCUCUUUAUCAUCUUCAUGGUGCUGUUUUGCUGCCUAUUACUGCUCUUGGGUAUGGUGACCAUUCACAUCUGGAAAAGGAAAAACCUCUUCUAUAAGUUGAAUGCAGAUGAGAACCUGGUAGAGAUGGCUUCCCAGAAAGAGAAACCUCAGGUGGAAGAAACUGAAAUCAGAGAACCUGAAGGUCUUGCAAAGAAGUCAGAAGUAGCUCUCACCAAGUCCAGUGAAAAUAUUUUGAUAAAUUCUGGCUUCUCCAGACCAGAGCGGGGAUGUCUUCCUCUAAAUUAA
rnacentral:lncRNA from 1 species